GACGAACGCUGGCGGCGUGCUUAACACAUGCAAGUCGAGCGGUAAGGCCCUUUCGGGGGUACACGAGCGGCGAACGGGUGAGUAACACGUGGGUGACCUGUCCUCAGCUCUGGGAUAAGCCUGGGAAACCGGGUCUAAUACUGGAUAUGACUCCAUGACGCAUGUUGUGGGGUGGAAAGCCUUGUGCGGCUGAGGAUGGGCCCGCGGCCUAUCAGCUUGUUGGUGGGGUGANGGCCUACCAAGGCGACGACGGGUAGCCGGCCUGAGAGGGCGACCGGCCACACUGGGACUGAGACACGGCCCAGACUCCUACGGGAGGCAGCAGUGGGGAAUCUUGCGCAAUGGGCGAAAGCCUGACGCAGCGACGCCGCGUGAGGGAUGACGGCCU
rnacentral:rRNA from 1 species